rnacentral:rRNA from 1 species
CUAACACAUGCAAGUCGAGCGGUAGCGGGCCUGACCACUCUCGAGUGGUUCAGGUGCCGACGAGCGGCGGACGGGUGCGUAACACGUAGGAAUCUGCCCGGUAGUGGGGGAUAGCCCGGAGAAAUUCGGAUUAAUACCGCAUACGCCCUAAGGGGGAAAGCAGGGGAUCGGUUCGCCGACCUUGCGCUAUCGGAUGAGCCUGCGUCGGAUUAGCUGGUUGGUGGGGUAAAGGCCUACCAAGGCGACGAUCCGUAGCUGGUCUGAGAGGAUGAUCAGCCACACUGGGACUGAGACACGGCCCAGACUCCUACGGGAGGCAGCAGUGGGGAAUAUUGCACAAUGGGCGAAAGCCUGAUGCAGCCAUGCCGCGUGUGUGAAGAAGGCCCUAGGGUUGUAAAGCACUUUCAGUGGGGAGGAAAGGUCGAAGGUUAAUACCCUUUGGCUGUGACGUUACCCACAGAAGAAGCACCGGCUAACUCCGUGCCAGCAGCCGCGGUAAUACGGAGGGUGCGAGCGUUAAUCGGAAUUACUGGGCGUAAAGCGUGCGUAGGCGGCCAUUUAAGUUGGAUGUGAAAGCCCCGGGCUCAACCUGGGAACUGCAUCCAAAACUGGGUGGCUUGAGUGCGAGAGAGGAGUGUGGAAUUUCCUGUGUAGCGGUGAAAUGCGUAGAUAUAGGAAGGAACACCAGUGGCGAAGGCGACACUCUGGCUUGACACUGACGCUGAGGUACGAAAGCGUGGGGAGCAAACAGGAUUAGAUACCCUGGUAGUCCACGCCGUAAACGAUGUCUACUAGUUGUCGGUGGUCUUGUACUGCUGGUAACGCAGCUAACGCGAUAAGUAGACCGCCUGGG